CGUAUUUGUUUGUUAAGGAAUGGCGAAUCACGAGAUGUUGUGUUCACCAUUUUAAAUUUAUAUUUUAUUAUGUUUUUAUUAAGGUCUUCUUUUCCUCUAAAAAUGCAAGAAAAAUUCUGUCUUAGUUCGUUCUUUAAUGACAAGCGCAAGUAUUUUGUGCCUCGUUUGCUGGCUGCAAUGAUGCCUACAGUCGACGGAGUUCGAUACCUCGUGCUAGGGUUUGUCCAUUCUCGCCUCGUCGCAGAAUCAUGCGAUGAAACCCACUCUGCUUACGGCAGCCAUUCCCGUUGCCUCCGUCUCCUCUCAGCUCGAUGAUGUCUUCUGUUUCGGGAGAAUUGGAAGGAAUCAUGCAUGUAUGGGUUUUCGAGCUGGGAUCAUGAAAAUCCCUUUUUGCCCCCUUUCCAAGCUGUCGGUGACUACCGAUCGCUCCCUUGUGAACCGCUCUAAAGAGAGGGUGGCUUGGAGAUGCAGUUGCGCUCUUCCGGCAUCUACGAGCACCAAAUUCCGAGCGAAAAAUCUCGAGGAGGGAUAGUUCGAGGUAUCAUACUGGACUACAUGUUAUUCAGAAUGACUGCUUAUUCAUUGAGCUUUUUGGGGAUGAGGAUUCAGAGGAAAUCUUAUUUUGUGGUUUAAGGAUUGGAAAAGUAUUGUUGCCUGAAACUCCUUUUACACAAUGAUGAACAAUUUUAAGAAUGUUCCGGAAUACCUGUAUAUUUGGCCUUGCUACUUCAUAAGCGGACAUAUCCAUCACAGAAGAUAAACCUGCAAGGAAGCAAGUAGAAAAAGCUAUAAAGAAAGCAUUUCAUCAGCAGGAAAUUACCCUGACAGUCAAGGAUGUAUAGUUUAACGGGCAUGAAAGGGCCAUCAAGGUUCAGUAUGAGUGCCAGUAUUAUCGUGGAGGCCUUUGAGGAUAUGGAAGCUUCCAGAAUGGGAAGAUGGAGAUGGUGGAUCAGAAACCAAGCCGUCUGACAUAAUAGCUGUAAGUAAACUGGUUCAGAUAUCUCAGAUAUGCUGAUCUUAAGGAACACUUUUUCAAACUGUACUUUUUAAACAUAGAUGCUACUUUUCAUGAACCAUUGUGCUUUUCAUGUUGCACUCUUUCUAUUUGGUUAAUUAAAUAAAUCUUAUAUCUCUACAUACAUUCGAUAAGACAUACAAUGCUAGUAUGUAUUUUUAUGAGUAAACAUUGUGCUGUGUUUUUGUCUCACUGAAGCACUUGUCAUAAUGACAAUAGCAUAUAGUAGAUGAAUUCUUGGAUUUCUAUUUACUAUUGUUUAUCAACUCAUCAUAAUCACAGACCCACAUUGGUAAGAGCCUCAUGCACUGAGCUGGCCAACAUGAUUUGAUUGGGUCAAGCGAAGCUGACCUGAGGUCAAUUGCAUUUAUUUAUAUUUCUACCUUUUUUAGGAUUCUCAUGUAAUUUUUGUCCUUUUUGCAUUGCUUCAAUAUGAGCUAUGUAUAAGAGGGUUAGAGUCAGUUUGCGAUUCAGUGUUCUACCCAAUCUGAUUUCAACUCUGGAUGCCCUUGUUCUUUAAUUGAAUGGCUCCAGAGGACUCCAAGCUUAUUGACUGAUUUGAUUCUAUUUAUGAGAGUCAAAAGUAAAUCAAAGAAGCAUCUACCUGUCACACCUUUGAAAAGGUGACUAUUGUCGGAACCUUAUUUAUUUUUGUCUGUGGAGCCUAUAUUGUCUUUUUGUUUGUCUUACAAUAUACAUCAGAGAAUAUCACUCAUUUUCUAGUUGGCUUAUUAUUACUGUGUGACAAAUUAGGAGUUGUUAAUGAUAAGUAGCUUUUGUAUCUAUAGGCCUAGUGGCUUUAUAUGUCCUGAUAUUUGACUUUAUUCUUGUUGGUAUCAACAUCUUUACGCUAUGGCUUCGGGGCUAAUACGGUUGGGUUUGGGUACGAAUGAUUGGAGAUCUUCUUGAACGACCCUUGAGACUGCUGAGGUAGUCGACCGCGGUGGUCCGAUCGCGACAGGGUCACUGUUUUCUCCGGGAGGGGACCCCUCGCUUGGGCAUUCGGUGGGAGGCACUUCGUCUUCGUCCUUGCACACAGGUCGGGUCGGGAGAGCUCGGCCCGACCCCUCCGACGAUCAAGGAGUAGGGUCGUACCUUGGAUAACGUCUGACACCGACAUUGGAGUUGCGUGAAGGACAGGGCUCCUACAGGAUGGCGACGUGCCUCGGUCGGCGUUUUGGUUUGCUUCGACCAGGCGCUGUCAGGUCAGACCGAGGCAAGCGACCCCCGUAACUCUUCGGUCCGCGUGACCUAGGAGACGUCACCCGGGAGCAUGUGACGUUAGUUCGUGCCCCAUCAUUAUUAUUACCCUUAUCAAUUUUUUUUUUUCCUUCUAGUUAUUGUCAAUCAUGUCUUAUAUUUGAACUUGUUAUACUCCUAUC